rnacentral:rRNA from 1 species
CCUACGGGUGGCAGCAGUCGAGAAUCAUUCACAAUGGGGGAAACCCUGAUGGUGCGACGCCGCGUGGGGGAAUGAAGUUCUUCGGAUUGUAAACCCCUGUCAUGUGGGAGCAAAUUAAAAAGAUAGUACCACAAGAGGAAGAGACGGCUAACUCUGUGCCAGCAGCCGCGGUAAUACAGAGGUCUCAAGCGUUGUUCGGAUUCACUGGGCGUAAGGCGUGCGUAGGCUGUUUCGUAAGUCGUGUGUGAAAGGCGCGGGCUCAACCCGCGGACGGCACAUGAUACUGCGAGACUAGAGUAAUGGAGGGGGAACCGGAAUUCUCGGUGUAGCAGUGAAAUGCGUAGAUAUCGAGAGGAACACUCGUGGCGAAGGCGGGUUCCUGGACAUUAACUGACGCUGAGGCACGAAGGCCAGGGGAGCGAAAGGGAUUAGAUACCCGGGUAGUC